GUGAAAGCGCCCGGCUUAACGGGGCGAGGUGCGCCGAUACGGGUUCACUUGAGGGCAGUAGAGGGUGGCGGAAUUCCCGGUGGAGCGGUGAAAUGCGUAGAGAUCCGGAGGAACGCCAGUGGGGAAGCCGGCCACCUGGGCUUGACCUGACGCUGCGGCGCGACAGCGUGGGGAGCAAACCGGAUUAGAUACCCGGGUAGUCCACGCCCUAAACGAUGCCGGCUCGGCGUCUGGCGUACGGACCCCCUGGGUGCCUUAGCUAACGCGGUAAGCAGGCCGCCUGGGGAGUACGAGCGCAAGGUUAAAACUCAAAGGAAUUGACG
rnacentral:rRNA from 1 species